rnacentral:rRNA from 1 species
UCGAGCGGAACGAUGGGAGCUUGCUCCCAGGCGUCGAGCGGCGGACGGGUGAGUAACACGUGGGAAUCUGCCCAUUAGUGGGGGAUAACUCGGGGAAACUCGAGCUAAUACCGCAUAAUCCCUACGGGGGAAAGCAGGGGAUCUUCGGACCUUGCGCUGAUGGAUGAGCCCGCGUCGGAUUAGCUUGUUGGUGGGGUAAUGGCCCACCAAGGCGACGAUCCGUAACUGGUCUGAGAGGAUGGCCAGUCACACCGGGACUGAGACACGGCCCGGACUCCUACGGGAGGCAGCAGUGGGGAAUCUUGGACAAUGGGCGCAAGCCUGAUCCAGCCAUGCCGCGUGUGUGAAGAAGGCCUUCGGGUUGUAAAGCACUUUCAGUAGGGAGGAAGGCUUUGGGCUAAUACCCUGGAGUACUUGACGUUACCUACAGAAGAAGCACCGGCUAAUUUCGUGCCAGCAGCCGCGGUAAUACGAAAGGUGCGAGCGUUAAUCGGAAUUACUGGGCGUAAAGCGCGCGUAGGCGGUGUGUUAAGUCGGAUGUGAAAGCCCAGGGCUCAACCUUGGAAUUGCAUCCGAUACUGGCACGCUAGAGUGCAGUAGAGGGAGGUGGAAUUUCCGGUGUAGCGGUGAAAUGCGUAGAGAUCGGAAGGAACACCAGUGGCG